AAAAAGUGUUUAUAGCUGCACUGAAAAAGAAUCUGUACCUCUGACAUAAACAGAUAUUUCCGCUACUUACCACUUCAGCAAAUGGACGUCAAACCAAAGCGCCUGCACAUGCAUCCGCAGCAGAGAAGUGGAAGACCUGCAGGAAAGAAUUGUUGAUAGCUGCUUAAUCAAAGCAACACUGGGUUUUCUGGUAAAGAGCAGAAAUGAUGGUUCCGUCGUCUCAGCCCUGAAGCAGAGAAGCAGCCCCAGACUGUCACACCACCACCAC
ensembl:lncRNA